rnacentral:rRNA from 1 species
AGUGAACGCUGGCGGUAGGCCUAACACAUGCAAGUCGAACGGCAGCACAGUAAGAGCUUGCUCUUACGGGUGGCGGGUGGCGGACGGGUGAGGAAUACAUCGGAAUCUACUUUUUCGUGGGGGAUAACGUAGGGGAACUUACGCUCAUACCGCAUACGACCUACGGGUGAAAGCAGGGGAUCUUCGCACCUUGCGCGAUUGAAUGCGCCGAUGUCGGAUUAGCUAGUUGGCGGGGUAAAGGCCCACCAAGGCGACGAUCCGUAGCUGGUCUGAGAGGAUGAUCAGCCACACUGGAACUGAGACACGGUCCAGACUCCUACGGGAGGCAGCAGUGGGGAAUAUUAGGCAAUGGGCGCAAGCCUGAUCCAGCCAUACCGCGUGGGUGAAGAAGGCCUUCGGGUUGGAAAGCCCGUUUGUUGGGAAAGAAAAGCAGCAGGUUAAGACCCCGCUGUUCUGACGGUACCCAAAGAAUAAGCACCGGCUAACUUCGUG